UACGGAGGGUGCAAGCGUUAUCCGGAUUCACUGGGUUUAAAGGGUGCGUAGGAGGUUAGGUAAGUCAGUGGUGAAAUCUUCGAGCUUAACUCGGAAACUGCCGUUGAUACUAUCUAUCUUGAAUACCGUGGAGGUGAGCGGAAUAUGUCAUGUAGCGGUGAAAUGCUUAGAUAUGACAUAGAACACCAAUUGCGAAGGCAGCUCGCUACACGAAUAUUGACUCUGAGGCACGAAAGCGUGGGGAUCAAACAGG
rnacentral:rRNA from 1 species